rnacentral:pre_miRNA from 1 species
GUGAUACUCCCUGCGUCCGGAAAUACUUGUCAUCAAAAUGGAUAAAAGGAGAUGUAUCUAGACGUAUUUUAGUUCUAGAUACAUCCCUUUUUAACCAUUUUGAUGACAAGUAUUUUCGGACGGAGGGAGUAGUAA